UUAAAUUGAAGAGUUUGAUCAUGGCUCAGAUUGAACGCUGGCGGCAGGCCUAACACAUGCAAGUCGAACGGUAACAGGAAGCAGCUUGCUGCUUUGCUGACGAGUGGCGGACGGGUGAGUAAUGUCUGGGAAACUGCCCGAUGGAGGGGGAUAACUACUGGAAACGGUAGCUAAUACCGCAUAACGUCGCAAGACCAAAGAGGGGGACCUUCGGGCCUCUUGCCAUCGGAUGUGCCCAGAUGGGAUUAGCUAGUAGGUGGGGUAAAGGCUCACCUAGGCGACGAUCCCUAGCUGGUCUGAGAGGAUGACCAGCCACACUGGAACUGAGACACGGUCCAGACUCCUACGGGAGGCAGCAGUGGGGAAUAUUGCACAAUGGGCGCAAGCCUGAUGCAGCCAUGCCGCGUGUAUGAAGAAGGCCUUCGGGUUGUAAAGUACUUUCAGCGGGGAGGAAGGGAGUAAAGUUAAUACCUUUGCUCAUUGACGUUACCCGCAGAAGAAGCACCGGCUAACUCCGUGCCAGCAGCCGCGGUAAUACGGAGGGUGCAAGCGUUAAU
rnacentral:rRNA from 1 species